UACAGAGGGGGCAAGCGUUAUUCGGAAUUAUUGGGCGUAAAGGGCGCGUAGGCGGCCUGGCAAGUCGAUGGUGAAAGCCCGAGGCUCAACUUCGGGUCGGCCACUGAUACUGCUGGGCUUGAGUCGACUAGAGGCAGAUGGAAUUCCGGGUGUAGCGGUGGAAUGCGUAGAGAUCCGGAAGAACACCGGUGGCGAAGGCGGUCUGCUGGGGUCGAACUGACGCUGAGGCGCGACAGCGUGGGGAGCAAACAGG
rnacentral:rRNA from 1 species